AUGACUGCAACGUAGGGCUUUUAUACUCGUCAUUGGACUAAUCGAAUACGGGAAUCACUAUGAACGAACGUCAAGGCAGUCACGAAGGAAUCACGGAGGCAAAAAGGAAAUCGGAAGCAUAAUUGAUUUGGGAUGGAAAAGGGUCGAUCCUCGUCUGAUCGGGGAAAGAAAUCGGCAUCGAUUUCGACUGAUUGAGAAGACGAUCGAACGGGAUCGUCAUAGAAACGAGGGAGGGGAAAGCUGGAAUGAACGAAGCAGCGGGGGAAGACGCUUACAAUGAUAGCGGCACUUCGUUGGUCGAUUAAUCGCGAAGAGGCCAAAGGGGAGAAACAGCGAACCUGUGGUAGUCUUCGGUGGGUGCAACGAGGAGCUGCUCAAGCAACUUCUCGGCUGCUUUCUUCGAUUCCAGCAGUGGUGUGCGAAGGCAAGAUGCGUGCGUGAGGUACGAGAGGCGGAGCCAGACGGGGAUUUCCAGGGAUUGUCGAACUUCGGUGUCUCCCUUCCACUGUUUGCUCGAUGAAGAAUGAUUGGUUGUUGAAUCUUGAUAGCAAGAGAUUGAGAAGGAAGAAGACAGGGGAAGAACAAGAAUUCAAUGGGUGUUUAGAUUGUUUCAUUUGACGGGGGAAAAUGAGGCAUUUGUUCUUGAUUGUUCUUGGCAGUAAUUUCGAAGAAGAAGAGAAGAGAAAACAAUUUCUUUUUGUUUAUGAUGUUUGAUCUUGGUUGAAUACGACGAAGCAGACAGAAAAAGAAAUAUGGAGGUGUUUGCGUGUUGAUUUUUUUAAUAAUUGUAUAUUGUUUGAGUGUUCAUUUUAACAUUGCACAAAACUUAACAUUGCAUAUGUUUUGUUUGAGUGUGGUUUUGGUUUGUAAGAACUAAUGGCUGUUAAAUUCUUUGUAUAGUUUAAAAUAAUGAAUUUGGUAGC